rnacentral:rRNA from 1 species
GACGAACGCUGGCGGCGCGCUUAACACAUGCAAGUCGAGCGAAGCGGCGGACGGGUGAGUAACACGUGAGUAACCUGCCUUAGACAUUGGGAUAGCCUCGGGAAACCGGGAUUAAUACCAAAUGGUCUAAGAUGGACUCGCGUCCCAUUAGCCAGUUGGGAGGUAACGGCCCACCAAGGCGACGAUGGGUAGCCGGCCUGGGAGGGAGAACGGACACAUUGGAACUGAGAAACGGUCCAAAAGCUACGGGAGGCAGCAGUGGGGAAUAGUGCACAGUGGAGGGAACUCUGAUGCAGCGACGCCGGGUGAACGAAGAAGGCUUUCGAGUCGUAAAGUUCUUUUAUAUGGGAAGCGGUACCAUAAGAAAAAGCCCCGGCUAACUACGUGCCAGCAGCCGCGGUAAUAC